GGGAGAGGGAGUGGCAAAAACGAAAGGGAGAGAGAGAGGACUGGAUCCGGCGACGGGCAGCUGCCGUGGGCGUCGACGAGGAGGGGCGCCCGCGGCGGGGCGGCCAGGAGGAGGGCGCGGCGGCCGCGCGCUCGACCGCGGCGGGAAGGGUCGCGCCCGCAGCGGGCCGGCCAGGUGGAGGGGGCGCAGCGUGGUCUGCGGCAGCGGCUUCGUCGGCUGCUGGGAGGGCUGUCUCGGCUCGGUUUAUAGAAUUUCCUUCCCCUUCCUUUGCUUAGUCCAAUGUAUUAAAGACUAGUCAUGGAGGAAAUUAGGGAGAUGGAAGAAAUUUUUAUGAAAGAGGCCAGCAGGUAUAAUGUUUGUGUUAUUCUUGUGUGGUUGUUUCUCAAUUUAGUUCAUAAGACGAUGUGGACGAUUAGAUAAAUGUGUAUUAUUUUUCAUGUGAUUUGUAGGCCAAUUGUUAAUGAGUUGAGACUAGUUGUUAGAGUUCGGUCAUUCUUCAGCAUGCCGGACUUGUAAUAUGUGGGACACUUUGAGAUGGUAUGGUUUAUGCUUUUGUGAUAUUUUGGACAUGGUAAUAUGUGAACUAAUUUGAGAUGAUAUGACUGUCUAUUUUGUGAUAUUUUGGACAUGGUUACAUGUGGACCAAUUGUGUGA